rnacentral:rRNA from 1 species
AUUGAACGCUGGCGGCGUGCUUAACACAUGCAAGUCGUGCGGUAACAGGCGUAGCAAUACGUGCUGACGAGCGGCGAACGGGUGCGUAAUACAUGGGAAUCUGCCCUUUAGUGGGGAAUAACCCGGCGAAAGCCGGGCUAAUGCCGCAUAAGAUCUUCGGAUGAAAGCGGGGGAUCGUAAGACCUCGCGCUGAUGGAUGAGCCCAUGUCGGAUUAGCAGUUGGUGAGGUAACGGCUCACCAAGGCGACGAUCCGUAGCUGGUCUGAGAGGACGGCCAGCCACACUGGGACUGAGACACGGCCCAGACUCCUACGGGAGGCAGCAGUGGGGAAUAUUGGACAAUGGGGAAACCCUGAUCCAGCGACGCCGCGUGUGUGAAGAAGGCCUGCGGGUUNUAAAGCACUUUGGU